rnacentral:rRNA from 1 species
GACGAACGCUGGCGGCGUGCUUAACACAUGCAAGUCGAACGAUGAAACCUAGCUUGCUAGGUCGAUUAGUGGCGAACGGGUGAGUAACACGUGACUAACCUGCCCCUUUCUCUGGGAUAACGCUCCGAAAGGAGUGCUAAUACCGGAUACUCACAUCGAGGCACAUGCCUUGGUGUGGAAAGUUUUUCGGAAAGGGAUGGAGUCGCGGCCUAUCAGCUUGUUGGUGAGGUAACGGCUCACCAAGGCGACGACGGGUAGCCGGCCUGAGAGGGCGACCGGCCACACUGGGACUGAGACACGGCCCAGACUCCUAAGGGAGGCAGCAGUGGGGAAUAUUGCACAAUGGGCGCAAGCCUGAUGCAGCGACGCCGCGUGAGGGAUGAAGGUCUUCGGAUUGUAAACCUCUUUCAGUAGGGACGAAGCGAAAGUGACGGUACCUAAAGAAGAAGCACCGGCUAACUACGUGCCAGCAGCCGCGGUAA